rnacentral:rRNA from 1 species
UACGGGGGGGGCAAGCGUUGUUCGGAAUUACUGGGCGUAAAGGGCUCGUAGGUGGCCAACUAAGUCAGACGUGAAAUCCCUCGGCUUAACCUGGGAACUGCAUUUGUGACUGCAUGGCUAGAGUGCGGCAGAGGGGGAUGGAAUUCCGCGUGUAGCAGUGAAAUGCGUAGAUAUGCGGAGGAACACCGAUGGCGAAGGCAAUCCCCUGGGCCUGCACUGACGCUCAUGCACGAAAGCGUGGGGAGCAAACAGG